rnacentral:rRNA from 1 species
ACAUGCAAGUCGAACGGGCUUCUGGGGUUCUGGCUUUUGGUUGGGGUUCUGGGGGUUAGUGGCGAACGGGUGAGUAACACGUGAGUAACCUGCCCUUCACUUCUGGAUAACCGCUUGAAAGGGUGGCUAAUACGGGAUGUUUCUGGGUCUGUCGCAUGGCGGGUUCGGGAAAGAUGGCACUGUUUGGUGUUUUUGGUGGGGGAUGGGCUCGCGGCCUAUCAGCUAGUUGGUGGGGUGAUGGCCUGCCAAGGCUUUGACGGGUAGCCGGCCUGAGAGGGUGGGCGGUCACACUGGGACUGAGAUACGGCCCAGACUCCUACGGGAGGCAGCAGUGGGGAAUAUUGCACAAUGGGCGGAAGCCUGAUGCAGCGACGUCGCGUGAGGGAUGGAGGCCUUCGGGUUGUGAACCUCUUUCGCCAGUGAGGAAGGCCUUGCCUGUGUGGUGGGGUUGACGUACGCUGGGU